rnacentral:lncRNA from 1 species
CGAGAAUAAUGAAAAUCAGGAAUAAUAAUCUGCCAAAACCUUUGGGAAAAAAUACACAUUCAAUUAGUUUCAAUAAUAAAUGCUGCAAAUUCUAUAGGAAAAUAUACAGUACCUCUCCAUCAUUGGCAAUGACUAAGACAAGUGAAAGAUGGAUUUGCAAAGUACAGAAAAACUAAAAGAUGAUAUGAUUACUUCAGAAAUAAAUGCUCUGAACAUACAUAUCAAAUAAAGAAGAAACCAUAUCCUUUUGAUCAGUGACAAUUUGAGAAUUUAAAGUCAAACAUAUUCAGAACAAUUGUGAUCUUAUUAUGUAUAAAUUUUAAACCUUUUUGUAGAUGUAAACAUAAUUCGAGCAAAAAAUAAUUAGUUCAAUCCAACAAUAGAACCUGUCCUAAAUCCGUCUCUAUAUUUCCAUACUAAAACAUAGAGAGAAAAAAUUAAUAGAAGAUGAAGAAAGAUAUAUAAAGAAAAAGAAUACCAAACAAUAAAAACAAACUCAGUAUAAUUUUACAAGUGGGGUUUGAGAAUGGUAAUAUGUACGCAUACCUUACCCAUACCUUGCGAAGGUAGAAAUACUGUUUUUAAUAAACAGUCGGCUCAAGGAACAACAAAAAAGAAAAAAUAAUACCAUAAAAGUUAAAACCUACCUUUGCAAAUACUAGCCAAUGAGAAACCACAUGGGAAACAAAUUCCUGUUGUUUUCUUCUUCUUUCUUGUUUAUUUGUGGUGAAGAAGGAGUUGAAGGUUUAAGUUUUGUAUGAGAAGAGAGGAAAGAAGAAAGGAAACACUCAAUAUAAAGAUAGAACUUCUUCUCUCUGAUUGAA